rnacentral:rRNA from 1 species
GUGCAAGCGUUAAUCGGAAUCACUGGGCGUAAAGCGCACGUAGGCGGCUUGGUAAGUCAGGGGUGAAAUCCCACAGCCCAACUGUGGAACUGCCUUUGAUACUGCCAGGCUUGAGUACCGGAGAGGGUGGCGGAAUUCCAGGUGUAGGAGUGAAAUCCGUAGAUAUCUGGAGGAACACCGGUGGCGAAGGCGGCCACCUGGACGGUAACUGACGCUGAGGUGCGAAAGCGUGGGUAGC